rnacentral:tRNA from 1 species
GCCAGGAUGGCCGAACGGUAAGGCGCACGCCUGGAAAGCGUGUUCCCGUAUGGGAUUCAGGGUUCAAAUCCCUGUCCUGGCG